GUCAGCACCCCGCUCUAAAGAGACGGGGCUUCAUGCCUCUAACUUUGGAUAGUUGACCAGCCUAAGUCUUAAUUGACUACGUUAUCGGCAAGUGUUAAAGACCCACCAAUGGAUGCGAAGCUAGUCCGUUGCUCUGGA
rnacentral:sRNA from 1 species